AUACGUAGGGGGCGAGCGUUGUCCGGAAUGAUUGGGCGUAAAGGGCGCGUAGGCGGCCCGGUAAGUCUGGAGUGAAAGUCCUGCUUUCAAGGUGGGAAUUGCUUUGGAUACUGCCGCGCUUGAGUGCAGGAGAGGUUAUCGGAAUUCUCGGUGUAGCGGUGAAAUGCGUAGAGAUCGGGAGGAACACCAGUGGCGAAGGCGGGUAACUGGACUGCAACUGACGCUGAGGCGCGAAAGUGUGGGGAGCAAACAGGAUUAGAUACCCUGGUAGUCCACACUGUAAACGAUGAAUGCUAGGUGUAAGAGGUAUCGACCCCUUUUGUGCCGGAGUCAACACAAUAAGCAUUCCGCCUGGGGAGUACGGCCGCAAGGUUGAAACUCAAAUGAAUUGACGGGG
rnacentral:rRNA from 1 species